rnacentral:rRNA from 1 species
UACGGAGGGGGCUAGCGUUGUUCGGAAUUACUGGGCGUAAAGCGCACGUAGGCGGCUUUGUAAGUUAGAGGUGAAAGCCCGAGGCUCAACCCCGGAAUAGCCUUUAAGACUGCAUCGCUUGAACACGGGAGAGGUGAGUGGAAUUCCGAGUGUAGAGGUGAAAUUCGUAGAUAUUCGGAAGAACACCAGUGGCGAAGGCGACUUACUGGACACAUAUUGACGCUGAGGUGCGAAAGCGUGGGGAGCAAACAGG